AACGCGAAGAACCUUACCGGGGCUUGACAUCGGAGGAACAUCUUAGAAAUAAGGUUUCGGAGCAAUCCGACUUCCAGACAGGUGCUGCAUGGCUGUCGUCAGCUCGUGCCGUGAGGUGUUGGGUUAAGUCCCGCAACGAGCGCAACCCUCGUCGUGUGUUGGUCCGCAAGGAUCUCUCACGCGAGACCGCCGGUGAGAAGCCGGAGGAAGGUGGGGAUGACGUCAAGUCAGCAUGGCCCUUACGUCCCGGGCUACACACGUGCUACAAUGGGUAGGACAACGAGUCGCUAGCUAGUGAUAGUCUGCUAAUCUCUUAAACCUAUCCUCAGUUCGGAUUGAAGGCUGCAACUCGCCUUCAUGAAGUCGGAAUCGCUAGUAAACGCAGAUCAGCUACGCUGCGUUGAAUACGUUCCCGGGCCUUGUA
rnacentral:rRNA from 1 species